rnacentral:rRNA from 1 species
GUGUCAGCAGCCGCGGUAAUACGAAGGGUGCAAGCGUUACUCGGAAUUACUGGGCGUAAAGCGUGCGUAGGUGGUGGUUUAAGUCCGUUGUGAAAGCCCUGGGCUCAACCUGGGAAUUGCAGUGGAUACUGGAUCACUAGAGUGUGGUAGAGGGAUGCGGAAUUUCUGGUGUAGCAGUGAAAUGCGUAGAGAUCAGAAGGAACAUCCGUGGCGAAGGCGGCAUCCUGGGCCAACACUGACACUGAGGCACGAAAGCGUGGGGAGCAAACAGGAUUAGAUACCCUGGUAGUCC